GCGUCAAUAGCUCAGUGGCAGAGCAGUGAGACGGUACCCCACCGGCUCCAGGUUCGAGUCCUGAUCGACGCU